rnacentral:lncRNA from 1 species
UCAGACUCAUGCAUUAUACUAAAAAGCAAAAUAAACAACUAAAAGGAAGUAAAUUUUCUAAAAACAGCAAAGAAAAACGAUAAAGAAAAAGCGAGAAAAACAAUAAAGAAAAGAUGAUAGAGUCUCCUCCCACACUUAAAUCGAACAUUGUCCCCAAUGUUUCGAAAUAAGAUAAGGAAGAGUUACCUGGCAACCUAAUGCUGAC